rnacentral:rRNA from 1 species
AUUGAACGCUGGCGGCGUGCUUAACACAUGCAAGUCGAUCGGUAACAGGUGUAGCAAUACAUGCUGACGAGAGGCGGACGGGUGAGUAAUGCUUGGGAAUCUGCCUAUUAGUGGGGGACAACUCGGGGAAACUCGGGCUAAUACCGCAUACGCUCUACGGAGGAAAGCCGGGGACCGCAAGGCCUGGCGCUAAUAGAUGAGCCCAAGUCGGAUUAGCUAGUUGGAGGGUAACGGCCUA